AAGGACGUGUUGUGCACAUGUUUUUUGAGCUGUGUGAAGAGGUCUGGGGUGGCUCGCCUGCAACGUGCUCCCUUAGCUCGGGCAUCGAGACGGGGGACCUGGAAGAGUCGUCUUCCGGACCAAGCUCACCCCGGAGUUUGGAGCGUUCCAACGAUUCGCCACCGCCAGAGUCGAGCGAAUCCAGCGGAAGUCUGCCAGCUGCUGCAGUUGUACAGCAUCGCAGGAAUCUGCUCCAGGUGCAGCUGAACGGCCACAGAAGUGACCGCUU